UACAGAUCUUCAGCUUCCAGCAACAGAGCCAGACAUCAACAAUCGCCUUGAGUCUCUGUGUCUGAGCAUGACAGAGCACGCCUUGGGAGACGGUGCUGACCGCACAUCAACGAUAUGAAGCGGAGACCUGAGCGAGAGCAGUGGGACGGCGCGGGUUCACGAGGCUCUCUCACGAUAAGUCACCUCGAGGCCACCAGCCCUCCUGUCCCCUCUGCUUGUAGCCAACGGUAGAGCUCAACCAAAGGAUCGGGGCGGGAUCCAAGACCCCGCAGAGAGCGCCCUCAUCAAACGGCUAACGCUAUCACAUUGGCACCGUCCAUCGGGUCAGAAAAAAAACACUUCCUGCUCCGCCAGCAUCUGGGUGAGGAGAGAGGACAAGCCUUGAACACGGCUUGGACAGUGUGUGAACAGCGCCCACCCCCUGACCCCCACCCUCCGGCAGGCCAGAAGCAGUACUGCAGGCCAGCAGAAGGGAGACGCUGGCCUGAGACGCUGGCCUGCGGAUAACACUGAGGCCCCCCCCAGCACAUCAUUGACCACAACUCGUGGCAUUCUUCAAAUUCGUUACAGUACCUCAGAGCCAAAAACAAGACGAGCUAAGAGGAAGUUUGGGAUUUCCUUGACUGUAUUCGUAGAGCUCGGGAAGGUCCUCUUGCUCAGUAUUUGGGGGGGGGGGAAACAAAAUCAUUUAUUUGUAUUGUAUGUAUUUAUUGUUUACAUAAUGAUGCUACUUUCAAAGGGUACAAAAACAUGUAUGAAUUUCAGGUAUGAAUCGUGAAAUUGUCUGUAAAGCCUUGGCUGUCUACCAGCUUUACGUCCCGAGUAGCCAUCACGCUAGUUUACAACCAACGUGCUUAUUCUUUAUUUUAGCAGCCAAGACAUGUCGGCUUGAACAAGAGAGAGAACGAGAGAGGAGGGAGAGAAAGAGGCAGGUGUGUGGAGAUGAGAGGUAGGAGACAGACACAGGAAGUAGUAGAAGAGAGAGUGGAGCUGAGGUGAAACUGGAAAGGGAAGCGGAUGUUUAAAGGAGGAAGGCGUCAGAGGCGGGACCUCUGAUCAGCCGAAGACGACCGAGGAAGAUGACGCCAUGUCUAAUCAUGUUGUUCACGUGAGCGAGUGUCGGAGGAAGUGAGUUUGGCAGCGGUCAGUUACACAUUGUUUAUCCACAGCAUGUACUGUAUGAACUCUUUUGAAUUCAGAGCCUUUAAAGGCAACAAUACAUUGAAAAUGUAGAGUUUUUUUUAUAAAUGGGAGAUUGAUAUUGUCAGUGGGAUCUGUCUGCAUGUUCAGAUACUGGGUUUAGUUUGUUUUUUUAAAGCAGGGUGAUAUGCUUAAGCUGCAUGUUACAACUAAAUAUCUUUUUUGGGGGGUACAGGAAGAUUGUGAAAUGUGGAGAAGACGACAGAGAAAACAAAACAAGAGGGCUAUUUGGUUUCCACUCAGACCAUGUUGCAACAUGGGAGAAAUCACACACUGUCAAUCCAUGAAGGGUAGCUUUCCCAGAGAUUGUCUCAUUAGUGCUUACCUCCACCUGCUGGCCGACCGCAGUCAGAGCGGGGCAGACGCCUGUGAACACGCAGGCAGAUUAUACACACAUCAUUGGUGAGCGUUAUAAUUAGGAAAUGUUAAUGCUGCAGGAAAUCCCUCACAGAUCGCGGUGUCACAUGGUCUUCUGUCUGCUCCGGGCCGCUAUAGCAUUUAUUUUCUUUCUUUUUUAGAUACUGACUCUUCUGGUUAUUCUGUGUCUUAAUAUUUAUCCUCCGAUUAUUGUGUCUGGUAGACAGACUUCAUAAGAACAGAUUGAUGGAAAAUAAGCUGGUAUGAAAACUCUCCAACUAAAUGGUCAUCAUCCAGGGUUAUUGAUUAUUAUUGUUUAGUUUCUUUAGUUUGUUGCAAUUCUAUAGUACUUCCUUUGUAUCCUGCACUUGAUAUGAUAAUGUGAUACACUAAAAUCCAGCUUUGGAGUCGGAGCAGAUUGGAGGCAGAAGUGGAGCGGUAGAACCACAACAAGUGGCCAUUAUCCCACCGCUUUUGAGUCUGAUGGUGGAUCUGGAGCUGAAGAUGCUUUGUCUUCUCGUGUCGCUCAUCGCUAGAGGACCAUGCCAGGGUUUUUGCAUGUUUUGCUCAUCUACAAACCUUUUAAAACACUCUGUGUUACUAUAAACUAUACUUAUUUUAUGUGUUUCAAACCUUCAAGAUUGCACAGGAAAGAAAAUCAUGACAGAAAUAAAAAACACUACAGUACAAUACAUUCAGUGUGUGUCUAAAGAGCUAAAACAUGCAGAUAGACUGUGAUGGUGCCUGAGAGUGGAUCAGAUGCAGUGAUGGCGGCUUGAAGCUGCAGUAUGGAUCAGUGCACACACACACACACACACACACACACACACACACACACACACACACACACACAGAGGACAGUGUAUGUGUGUUAGUGGCAACAGUGCACUGCUUCAGUCGUGUGUUUUCUGCACCUUGAGUCUGUAGCCAAUCAGAAGUGGUCCGUACGUUUGAAGAUGAAGAUUCCACCAAAGCAUGAACUGAUGUCUCACCUUUCUGUCUGACGCUCUUCGCUGAGAAGCAUCGGAGCCUGUUCCGAUGUCACUGCCAUAUGAAUCAGUACUUAAAGUAGAUACAAUUAUUUAUUCUUUUUUUCAUAAUUUUUGCAGAGGUGAUACUUUUACUCAUUUAGGUGUAUUAUUAUUUAAAGUACCAUAUGUAUUAACAUGUUAUGGCUGGUGACCAUACGUACAUCUCAAAUAUUAACAUAGUUAUUGUUGACUUUGACUGUUAACUUUUCUUUCUCGUCGUUGCUGUUGUUAAACUAUAAUCUUGUUUGUAUCUAUCAGUGUCAUGUUGAGAUUUGUUUUCAUGUGAACUCGGAGCGUGAUGCGUGUUCAGUUACCAAAUUCACUUCAGAAGAACUGUCAGCAAACAGAACCAGCGGGGUGUUGUUGUAGGCUUUGGCAUGCCAGGAAGUAGACUGGUCCAUUGUGACCUAGUUACCACCUCACUGCAUGGUCCUGAGGUGAACAAUCUAGGUUGAAAUGUGUGUUACUUUAAAGAAUGAGGCUGGCAUUAUUCGACAUAUCUUCAUGUCAACAAAUCCUAUGAAAAGAUCAAAUUCUAAAGAUGUAGACUUUCAAAAACUUGGAGGAAACACUGCAUUUGUUGGGGACUAUUUCCAGCAGCGGAUGAAUCUAUAUUUGGUGCUAUGGAUGAUUUGAGGCAGUAGGACAUUGUAUGAUGGAUUGACUGAAAUGAACUACAAUGGUUUUGCAUUGUAAGGAAGGAACAUGUCAACCAAUGCAACAGUGAGGCUUAUCGAUCUGUGUUUAAUCAUUUGAUAAGUGUUAUAGCAAAGAAGUUAUAUCAGGAGUUGAUACACAGUGUUGGUUUUGGUCUUUUCAUAGGAUUUGUUUAUGUUAAAAAUAGUAGAGAGCAUCACCAGACCUGUCCUUUACGCCUCAUGUGUUAAGAUAAACCAACCUGCAGUCUGUAAUGUAAUCAAAGGGAUUAUUGAAACUGUCGUACACUUGCAGUAUUUUGAUUUACUUCACCUUGCCAUGUUUGAGUUAUAAAGGUGUUGAAACAAAGUUUUUAGUUUUGCAUAAAAACACUACUUUUUGUCUGUGACUGACAGCAUUCAUAACGUGAGUUUAUGGGAUGUUUCUAUGCGUGCAGAGUAACAUAGUAACGUUACAUGUUGUGUAUUUGCAGUCACAGAGCGUCUGUGUGACGGGACAGUGGAGAGUUACAGCUCUGAGGGUCAUUACACAUCUCUUCAAACCAAAUGCUUUAUUUGUUCUAAUGCAUAUCAGCUCUGUGGGAGUCCAGGAGUGCUAACGCUGUGCUCACUGCAGUAUUAACCGUUAGAUAUCGCCUUGAUAUUCCAAAAAAAACAUUUAAUGUACUUUAAGUUGAGACAUAUAUGCUGUUUUGUAUCUUUUACUUUUUGUCAUAGGUUCUGCAGUUUUAGUAUGUUGAUAUGGGAUGCCAAGAUUUCUCUUUUUUCUCUGUGUGUUCAGCAGCAUCUAUUCUGUAACUAAGGUUACCGCUUGACUGCUCCUUUAUUUUAUUUUGUUUUAUUUUAUCAAAGAGCCGAUGUCCUGUAUUGACUGCAGGCUUACAUAUAUAUUUGACAAAAGAAUAUUGUAUGUUUAAUAAUAAAAAAACUCAAAAAGACAAAAAAGUGCAGAAAAAAAGAAAUGGAGAAAAUUGAAAGAAAGAAAUGUGUAAUUUAUAUUUCCAAAGUGCAUGCACGAGGCGGGGAAGGUCAUAUUUAGAAUAACAAAUGGCAGUGCCUUUUUUUGUACUCGAGACAUUCACCCCAAAUGUAAAUGUUUUUAUAUAGACUUUAAAAGCUGUUGUGUUACAGGAUGAAACGGCUGUGUCGGGCUACACUCACACUGCAGCUGCACGUCCCCAUUCAGACCUCCCCCCCAAGGUGUUAUGUAGAUAAAGAACAGAUGAAAGUGUUAACUCAUCCAAGGAUUGUCUAGAUGUAAACCUGAUCCACAUGAACAAAUGAAAGAGAGUUAUUUUAGAUUCGAGGAGACAACUUAUAAUAAGCUGACUAUGUUCUUAAUUAAUUUGUCAUUCAUUCGGACUCAAAUCUGUAGUCAAAAUGUCUGUUAAAUUCUUUCCAUUGACUUUUGCUUGACCAAGAUGAGAUUAAAAUGAGAAGAGAAAGGAAUCGUCUAAUAUUUCCUCCAUGUGUUUAACACUUAGUGUUCAUGUAGACAGUACAUCACUGUGGCAGCAAUACUGACCAUAUCAAGCAGAACCUGAAACCAUGAACACUGACUUAUACUUUCUUAUGAUACUCAAUUGUAUUUAGAUUAGCUUGGUCUUUACACGUAGACCAAUCAUCUAAAUGAAUCCUCUGAGGACACAAAGUUGAGGAUCUGGAGAGAAUAUGAUCAAGUUUAAUCAAAAUCCAAUUCAUAAAUCAAAGCGAAACUCAAUAAGUGAUGUCCAGUUUACUGCACAUGGUUGAAAAUAAGUAUUGUGAACUUUAGGCCACAUUUAAAGCAUCUUCAUGUUUGAUGUUUGCUACUCUCAAGAGCUAAAUGUGAUCAAACACAAAGUUGAUCUGAAUGUAGCGUGGGGGGUGCAGUGUGAGCGAGGCCCGGGCGGUGAACUGGGUCUGUUGUUUUCUGUCCUCUGUAGGUACUUAAUGCUGAUAUAAAGUUAUCAAUUGCUCUGGUCUGUACAAACAUGUGUGAAUGAGUGUGAAUGUGAGUGUGUGUGAAAACAUUCAAGUGUUAUUCAAUGUGUCUUGCUGUAUCUGUGUGGCGACGUACCAGAAUGCUGUGACUUGGCAUGCCCCCAUUAUAAAUAAAGAAAAGUUGUAACU